rnacentral:rRNA from 1 species
GAGUUUGAUCGUGGCUCAGAUUGAACGCUGGCGGCAUGCCUUACACAUGCAAGUCGAACGGCAGCAUGAUCUAGCUUGCUAGAUUGAUGGCGAGUGGCGAACGGGUGAGUAAUACAUCGGAACGUGCCCUGUAGUGGGGAUAACUAGUCGAAAGAUUAGCUAAUACCGCAUACGACCUGAGGGUGAAAGUGGGGGACCGCAAGGCCUCAUGCUAUAGGAGCGGCCGAUGUCUGAUUAGCUAGUUGGUGGGGUAAAGGCCCGACCAAGGCGACGAUCAGUAGCUGGUCUGAGAGGACGAUCAGCCACACUGGGACUGAGACACGGCCCAGACUCCUACGGGAGGCAGCAGUGGGGAAUUUUGGACAAUGGGCGAAAGCCUGAUCCAGCAAUGCCGCGUGUGUGAAGAAGGCCUCGGUGUAAG